CUGGGAAAUCCCUCUUCACUCAAACUGGGAAUCUACCCCGGCUCUGUGUAUGUAUAUCUUUAUACACUCCGAUGUUACCGGUAGAUAGAAGCGACGACGCGACUCAUUAUAGCCUAUACUACUUUAUUAUUUGACCUUCAUAUUUCAUAUUUAUUGGUGGUAAUUUGCAGGUAUAACUGUAAAGCUUUUUCAGGCUGAAUCAUAAAGUCACUUGAUGCUCGACGGCUCGGAAUCAACCAUCCUUCUGAUCCCCGUUGCUGUAGCAACCACGUCCAUGAUACAUCUAGCUGUUCUUCUGUGCUGGUUUUCAACAUGCAAGUCACCACAGAAGACGAAAUGCUUGAGCGCUGUGGGCUGCUUCACCACCGUUCACUUGGAUUAAACGCUGCCAGUCGUUUCAUGUCAUGCAAAUUAAUAGUAAAUCAUAGAUAUCAUUUGAUAUUAGGCUGCUCUAGUCACCCUCAUCUGGGAAUAUGUUAAAGGACAUUAUGUAACAGUUUGAUGUGAGUGAAAUUAGGUGAAGUCCACAGUGGCAUUCCUCAUAAGUAAAAUUAAACUCUGCAAGGGAAGCCCCUCAAGGACAUGUGGAGGUCUUAGGAACCCAAAUUUAUGAUCCACAAGUUAGAUCAUUAACAGAAAAGUCAACUUGAGCACAUUCCCUGGCUGACUGAAGUGGUAAAAAAUGCCUCCCUACAUCAUCAGACUAUUCUAACUGAAUAUUUUGCUGUACUGUAUCUAUCUUUGAGACAUUCGGCCAUCCAUUUGCAUCACUAAUUUCGGUCGAACGUAGUCUCAUCUCAGCCGCUGCUGCAUGCUUCCUGCCUGUGCCCUUUCAUGUUAGUGACAAAAGCUGUCAAGUGCAGUGAACAGAGGGAGAAACAGCCAGUCUCAAGGGACAGCCACCAGCAUCGCACAGUUUUCUAGGCCACCUCAGCCUUCCAGUGACAACUUAAAAAGUGUCAUUCAGUGUUCCUCGGAGAGAAACUAUUUCCACUGAAAUACAAAAGCUGACAAGCACUGUAAGUCUGAAAAUAUGGUCUUGUUCAUAUGCAGAUUCUGUUUGUUUCUUUAUCUUUACAUUUUACAAUCAAGUACAGAUAUUCCAAUCAAAUACAAAUGAUGUUUGAUUGAGCACAAUUUUCCUGCACAUGCUUGUUUCCCUUAACAAGUGAUAAAAAGAUCAUUUUGUCUCUUAUGUCUUGAUAUCAUACUGCAGAGAUGCUUUAAACACGGUUUCAAGGUAAAGUGUGUAAAAGCAUGUAGUGGCAAUGGAAAACUUCAGUCAAGCUGAUGCUGUAUUGUGACAUCUGGUGAGGCUGAUUUCAUCAAAUUAAGAGCUUUCCUUAUUCUGAAAAUGUAACGUUUUGACAGCAAUUUAAUAUUUCAACAGUUACCAAGCCAUGUUAACAUCAUUACAGUUUUUCUCAUUUCCAUUUCUAAUUAAAGUCUCAUUGUUGUAGUCUUUUCACCGAUGUACUGUAUUCAUGUCAUAGAUCAAAUUAUAUAUUUUAAUCUAUUUAAAAUAACCUAUAUUUAACAGGAAUUGUUACAUAAUGUUUUUGUACAAAAAGCCAUCAGCAAUGGUGGAAAGGAAUUAUAUUAUUAUAUUUUUAAUACUAGUAAAAAAAAUUCUCCACAAUGGAUAGUUAUGAUGAUGUCAAGCAUGUAUUCUCUGUUGGUGUGCACCGCAUCUUUGACUUUAAUUCCUGGUCAUAAAUAAACUGCACAAACUGAGAACUGUUGACAUUUUUCUUUUGACCUAUUACAACAGAUUUUGCAUAUUAAUGCAACAAAAACACUGGCAUGCGUUCCACAUCUCAGAAACAGCUACACGAGAGAUAGAGAGCGAGCACUGCAGCUGCAGCUGUGUGUAAAGCAAAAAAUUACUUGUGUAUGAACAUUUUAAUGUGGUCUGCAUCCAUUUAGACUGAUUUCAGUGAUGAUUUAACAGGCUGUAUAAAUCUAACCUAUUACCUAGAAAAACUGAGUUGAUGUUGAAUCAGACCCAAUUUAUGUUGGAGAUAAAUCUUUAGCAGCCCUACUAGGAUAUUUCACGCAUUACAGCUCUCACUUGUUGGUUCAGAUAUGGGAGGGGGUUUCCCCUGACAGGAAGCCGCAGUCCUUGCAGGAAUAACAUGAGCCUGCAUUUAUUGUUGGUAUGUGAACACCAUGCUCUUGAUUCUUGAUGUUAGAUUGUUAGAUCAUGACAGACAGAACAACUGCUGAUAAAGUAAUAUUCACAUGUUUUAAUGUCGCAGUAUUGAGUCAGCUUGCUUUGUGUGUGUGUGUGUGUGUGUGUGUGUGUGUGUGUGUGUGUGUCGGGGGGGGGGUAUGCUGUCUGGACUGUGAUGAGUCAGAUCUUUGCCACAGUGUGGCAUCCUUUUUCCUGCAGAGUCUGUGACAAGUAGAGAGGCAUGCUGGGACUGCUAGUUGGUCCUUUCCUUCAACAUUUUAUUUGGAUCACACUUUAUGCAAAUACUGUAUGGCUGUUUUUUUAUGUUUGACAGUGAUAUCAGACAACUCUUCAUAAAUAUCUCCUGUCAUUCACUCCUCCAGCCCUCUCCAUCUCUUGUUUUUCCGCUCUGCACAGCAGCCCAUUAACCGGCAACCUCUGAGGGAUAGCUUUAUAACCAUACAUAAUGGAUGAAUGGCGUGCAGGCUGCAAAAACCAAGUGUCAGAACAGUAUUGUGCUGGUCUUGAUCAGCUUUAAUCUCCUCUCUGCCUCUGUAGUUCAACAUCAGGUACCACUUUGUAACCGAUUGAUUCUUCAAUUCUAUGACAUUUCACAGAACUUCCAGGGUUAAAAUGGUUUGAAUCCACCGGCUCCCUAACAGGGCUGUGGGCGGGUGUAGAGGAAAGUUAAACCAGAUCAAGUAAGACCGUUUCUUUCCGCCCACCUCAGCAUACGGCCACAGUUCCCAGUCAGUCUCUAAUUAAUAGCUGUCACAGUAGCCACAAUCAAUAUCGCCUCAUUAGCCAUGUUUGUGUAACUCUCUCCCUUCACAAAGGGUCAAUACAUAAUCCCAGAGAUAGAAAUGCACUGGCCAGAGUUGAAAUGAAAGCCACAAACUAUUGAUUAGAAAAAGGCAAACCAUACAUUUGUUUCCCUGUAGAGUGUUAUUACCAUAAUGCUUUUGCUGCUGAUGCAUUUCACCUACAGAAAAAUCAAUGGGAGGUACACACAGCACUUACUUGUGUGGUCAUUGCUUCACUGCUGUUAAAUGUGCUGCGGGCCUGCAUGGUCACAUUUGUAAGUAAACCAAUCAAUAAAUAAAGCAGCAGAAAUCAUAUUUAAAUAGCAUGGCUUAAAUAGCUUGUCAUUGAUAAUUAGAUCAUUUUCUAUGUCUGUGGGGUGUUUGUAAGAUGAUUUGUGUGCACAUAAUAUAUGCAUCUGUCAAUGGGACAGCAAAAUCAGCAGUCAGAAAGUAAUUUAAAAAGUAUUGAGGAGACUGUAACACAUGUCUGAUUUUUGUAGACUUGUAAUUAAGACCGAAAACCAGAAAACGCAAAGGAAUAGUGAGCAGAUCGGAAUCAAAGAUGUGAGUGGUAAUCAGCAGCUGCCCAGAACCAAAUGACAGACAAAGCGACUAGCUGGUGAACAUAGUGAAGCACUUAGCAGCUAGAGAGCCAGAUACUUAGCUUAGAAUUUGGCAGAGACAAAAACAGAGCAAAAAGGAGAGUGAAUAUUUGACCUACAUUCAUCAGCUGACCAGAAACACAACUCCAAAUGUUGUUCCAUAUCUGCUGGAUCUGUAAAUUCUCAGAAAUAAAAUAAAAACUACCUGACCUUGGUGUCCACACUGGUAGCUAUUGUCCGGGUGGCGAUGGCAGAGAAAUACGGUAUAACCGCAUGCGUUUUCCUCAAAACAAGAGGAUAAUAUUGACUAAAUGAGAUUAAAGGCCACUGCAUGGAGAGAAAUUAGAUUAGAGUGACAUAGAGGCUGUCUGAAAGCUUGAUUUCUGCAUUAUCUGUGGUGUCAAAAGCAGAAAAUGGAUGAAGAUCCAUUUAGAAACAGACAGAAAUGACAAAUACAAAUGGAAUCUCUUGUUCAGUACUGAAAAUAAACCUCACAUCUUGUGCUUCUAAGUUUGCUUUUUUAUUAGGUUGAGUGUAUGGCAGAAGAGCAGUGACCAUCAAGAUAUUUGCUGUUAAACUAUAAAGUUGGGUUAAAAAGAUCCCAGAGGAAGAUGGAGUGCAGUGUCACAGAGAGAAAAAAGAAGGGGGAGGAAGAUAGAGAGACUUGCGCCAAUAAAGAAAAUUGGAACUGAAAGGAGCAGAGGGUGGAAGCAGGGGGGAGUCCAUCACUGUCAUGCACUGAGUGCAAAAAUCAUUAAUAGAUGGGAAAGUAAGACUGCAAAAAAGUCUGUAUGUUCUCCAAUUGGAGGAAUGGCAUUAUGGAUCUAAGCAGACUGUAUUUAUCAGCUGGGGAAUUAGAAA